AUGAUAAAGAUGAAGAUUAAGAAGCUGAUGCUCAGGGAUGCUGAAUCCAGGAGGAGCUCUGCUUGUAAGAUGAUCAGAACGCUGGUUUCACUUGUGAGGACUUUGGACCAAAUGCCAAAGGAGCGAACCAUUCUAAUGAAGCUUCUAUACUAUGAUGAUGCCACACCCGAGGAUUACAAGCCUCCCUUCUUUAAGGGUUGUGUUGAGAAUGAGGCCGUAAAUAUAUGGAACAAGAACCCCUUGAAGAUGGAAGUGGGGAAUGUCAAUAGCAAGCAUCUUGUGCUAGCUUUGAAGGUUAAGAGUGUCCUUGAUCCAUGUGAUGCUAACAGUGAUGAUGACAAGAUGAGCAUGGGUCAUGUGUCGGACCAAGAAGACUUUACGGACACCGAGACAACGAAUUUGCUCCGGAUUGCUAUAUACAACAUCAGCUACAUCAGAGGCCUAUUCCCUGAGAAGUACUUCAAUGAUAAGUCUGUUCCGGCACUAGAGAUGAAGAUUAAGAAGCUGAUGCCCAUGGAUGCUGAAUCCAGGAGGUUGAUUGAUUGGAUGGAGAAAGGUGUCUAUGAUGCCUUACAAAAGAAAUAUCUCAAUACCCUUCUCUUCUGUAUAUGUGAGAAGGAGGAAGGCCCAAUGAUUGAAGAGUAUGCCUUCUCAUUUAGCUACCCCAACACAAACGGGGAGGAAGUUGCAAUGAACAUGAGUCACACAGGGAGCAAAAAGAAUACUGCCACAUUCAAGUCAAAUGCAGCAGAAGUCACUCCUGAUCAGAUGAGGAGCUCUGCUUGUAAGAUGACCAGAACGCUGGCUUCAGUUAUGAGGGCCUUGGACCAAUUGCCCGAGGAGGCACUAUGCUUUGUUAAUGAAGUUGGCAUGGGGAAGCCAACCAAUGCACUCCCAGUGGAUAAUAGUGCCUGCAUUACAUUCUCCUUACCACUGAAACAAAAAGCAGGGGCAUCAGAUUCCGCGCCUUCUAAGCCACUAAGCGAAGCAAGAAAAGGGAAAGAAUCUUCUAACAUUGGCUCUGCAACAGAUGUUUCGCUAAGAAAGGCUGCUGCAAAUAGCUCCGCUGGAGAUGGAGAUGAUCCUAACAAAGGAAACACACCUGAUAUUUCCAAUAACGAUGCUGUUCCAUUCCGCACGCGGGUCAUUGCUGACUUGGCCGGGUUAGAUCCUGCUCAAGUAAUACUUAUCCUAGCUGACGCCGGUUCAAUGGAAGAAAUGAUACAGUUAUCAACAGUGGCAAAUGAAAGAGGAUUUAUAUUUGAAAGAACAGAGUCCUUGCAGCAUGUGUCCUUGAGAGUAUCAAUGGAUAGGUAUGUACAGGCGCAAGCUGGUCUACAAGAUGCAGUUGAGAACUUGGAUCCAGAUCAUAACCAACUUGAUGAAGAGGAAGAACAAGAUGAUGAUGAAGAAGAAGCUGCUCCUGCUCAGCAAGUAAAUGAAGAUGAAGUGCAAGAUGAUGAAGAAGCAGAUGAUGAUGAUGAUGAUGAUGAUGAUGAUGAUGAUGAUGAUGAUGAUGAUGAUGAAAUAAACUCCCAGGUUGCCGAUCCAGAUUACAUACCCGAAGAGUCACAGGGUGAAGAUGAUGAUGAUUGGUAUCUUGUGGAUCUUGAGGAAGAAGAAGCUGCUCCUGCUCAGCACGGAGAACAAACACAUGAAGCAGCAGCUCAUCAAGCAAAUGAAGAUGAAGCACAAGAUAAUGAAGAAGCAGAGGAAGAUGAUGAUGAUGAUGAUGAACCAGAUUCACAGCUUGCAGAUCCAGAUUAUAUGCCUGAAGAAGAAGAAGAAGAAGAAGAAGAACAAGAACAAGAUGAUGAUGAAGAAGAAGCUGCUCCUGCUCAGCAAGUAAAUGAAGAUGAAGUGCAAGAUGAUGAAGAAGCAGAGGAAGAUGAUGAUGAUGAUGAUGACGAAGAAGCUGCUCCUGCUCAGCAAGUAAAUGAAGAUGAAGUGCAAGAUGAUGAAGAAGCGCAGGAAGAUGAUGAUGAUGAUGAUGAAGAAGCUGCUCCUGCUCAGCAAGUAAAUGAAGAAGCUGCUCCUGCUCAGCAAGUAAAUGAAGAUGAAGUGCAAGAUGAUGAAGAAGCAGAUGAUGAUGAUGAUGAUGAUGAAAUAAACUCCCAGGUUGCCGAUCCAGAUUACAUACCCGAAGAGUCACAUGGUGAAGAUGAUGAUGAUUGGUAUCUUGUGGAUCUUGAGGAAGAAGAAGCUGCUCCUGCUCAGCACGGAGAACAAGCACAUGAGGCAGCAGCUCAUCAAGCAAAUGAAGAUGAAGCAUAA
rnacentral:rRNA from 1 species